GCUGGGCGUGGUAGCACGUGCCUGUAGUCACAGCUACUCGGGAGGCUGAGGUGGGAGGAAGGAUCGCUUGAGCCCAGGAGUUCUGGGCUGUAGUGCUCUAUGCCGAUCGGGUGUCCGCACUAAGUUUGGCAUCAAUAUGGUGACCUCCCGGAAGCGGGGGCACCACCAGGUUGCCUAAGGAGGGGUGAACUGGCCAAGGUCGGAAACGGAGCAGGUCAAAACUCCCAUGCUGAUCAGUAGUGGGAUCACGCCUGUGAAUAGCCACUGCACUCCAGCCUGGGCAACAUAGUGAGACCCCAUCUCUA
ensembl:misc_RNA Metazoa_SRP Metazoan signal recognition particle RNA